AGAGCUCAAAUUUGAAAGCUGGCGUCUUCGGCGUCCGCGUUGUAAUCUCGAGACGUGUUUUCCGUGCGGCUCUAUGGACAAGUCCCUUGGAACAGGGCAUCGUAGAGGGUGAAAAUCCCGUACUUGCCAUGGAAGUACCGUGCUUUGUGAUACACGCUCCAAGAGUCGAGUAGUUUGGGAUUGCUGCUCAAAGUGGGUGGUAGACUCCAUCUAAAGCUAAAUAUCGGGGAGAGACCGAUAGCGAACAAGUACCGUGAGGGAAAGAUGAAAAGCACUUUGGAAAGAGAGUUAAAAGUACGUGAAAUUGUCGAAAGGGAAGCACUUGAAGUCAGCCAUGCUGCUUGAGACUCAGCCUGGCUUUUGCUUGGUGUAUUUCUCGGUAGCAAGCCAGCAUUGGUUUGUGUCGUCGGAGAAGCGUAUGGGGAAUGUGGCAUCCUCGGAUGUGUUAUAGCCCUGUGCAGGAUACGACGACGUAGACCAAGGAACGCAGUGUGCCCUCUGGGCGGGUCUUCA
rnacentral:rRNA from 1 species